rnacentral:rRNA from 1 species
UACGAAGGGGGCUAGCGUUGUUCGGAAUCACUGGGCGUAAAGGGCGCGUAGGCGGCCUGAUAAGUCGGGGGUGAAAGCCUGUGGCUCAACCACAGAAUUGCCUUCGAUACUGUUAGGCUUGAGACCGGAAGAGGUAAGUGGAACUGCGAGUGUAGAGGUGAAAUUCGUAGAUAUUCGCAAGAACACCAGUGGCGAAAGCGGCUUUCUGGACGGUAACUGACGCUGAGACGCGAAAGCGUGGGGAGCGAACAGG